ensembl:lncRNA
AGAGAUAGUCUUUUCCCACCCCAGGCGGUGAACUGGAGGCCAGCACAGAGCUGACAUGGGAGCCAGACAGCAGAGCUGAUGUGGGGGCUGGCACAGAGCUGAUGUGGGGCCAGCACAGAUCCUUCUGGCAGGGACAACUCGCUGGGCCCAUGUCUAGCAGGGGAACAGUCAAAGCUUGCUCACCUUGCUGCAGAAUGACCUGAACAGUGACCUUGGAGACCACCAUCCUGAGGGAGGAAAGGAGUUCGUGCCUUGCUGCUACAUUUAAAUGGCUGCAAAGGUAAAUACGUCUGUUACUGCAUACAUCCAUAAUGCACAUAUGACAGCACGCAGUUGGAAAACACAAAGAGAGGUAACAACAAACAAGAAAAGACAUCUCCGAGCUCCUAAACCCAGGCACUCUGCUCCUCUUUGAUCUCCAUGGCUCAGGCUGUAGCUUUUCAGGACAUCUGUAGAUUAAAACUGCUUCUAAAAGUACUUCAGGAUCCACCAAGGAUUUAUUUUCUGGCAGACUGUUAUGUCGUUGCUACCAGAGACUAAUAAAAAUAUUGGAAAUGUGUAACAAUUUGGUAAUUGACUGAUUUGCUACUGGUAUUUGAGUUGCUUGACCACACUUCCAGAUUAGAAAUGCACUUUUCCUCCAGAUAAUUUAUAUUUGUAUUCGCAGUCUGGGGAAAUGCCGCUGAUUCCUGCAGCAGUAAAUCAGGCACAUUCACCCUGCCAAUAAACUUAGACAAUGUUUACGUGC